GUAUGAUUCCCCUCAUCAGGCAACAAGGAACUAAUACUCGGGGUUUACAGGAACCAGGGGAUGGGCCAGAUAUGGAGAAAGAGACGCCUCUGGCCUUGGGGGCUCGUUCUUGAGGGAAUCAGCGUGAUGGGGAUGAGAAGGGCAUCUUUGGAACGGGGGCCUUCUCCAUAGGAAGAGGAGGCGAGUCCCCUGGCCAUAUUUAAACCACAGUUCUCCACGCCACCUGUGCGACUCGGGAUCCAACCUCCCCGCACCAGCCCCAGUCCAGGUACCUGGAACUUAGUCCGAUCGGUAACCGGCGACUACGUGGGGUACAGGUACCCGAGCGCGCCCCCGACAGACGCACCGACCUGCGCGCGCGCCGCGGGCAGGAUGCGUGCGCACUCCCCGGACGUCCCGCCCCGCCCCCUCUGCGGCCCCGAAGCUGGGCGGCGUGCGCGCCCCCGCGCCGCGCCGAGCCGGGCGCUCGGAAAGGCGUCCCCGCGGUGCCUGACAGUUCCUUCCUCAGCGCCUGCCCCGUGAGUGACGAGGAGCGCGGAGUCUCGCCAUAUCAGGAGGGCCCUGUUACGUGAGGCUGUGCACCGAGACUAUUCCAGGAAGAAGAGGGGACACUUGGUGGGCGGGGUGAUUUCGGGCAGUCAGGUGGGCGACCCGCGUAGGCGUCUGAAAGGCCCGCGUCGUUAGGGAGGGCAGGAGUGGCGUCUCUGGUUACGGGGUCGGGCAAAGGGCAGAGGUCACCGUCCAGGUUGGACAGCAGCACCUUUGAGCGAUGGCGGCGUCUGGGGAACCCCAGAGGCAGUGGCAAGAGGAGGUGGCGGCGGUGGUAGUGGUGGGCUCCUGCAUGACCGACCUGGUCAGGUUAGUCCGGGGCCAGUUACUCAGUCUGCGGCUCGGGGGAGGAGGCGUGCCGUGCGCUAUGCGCCCAGUGGAGCUUUUGGGCGCUGGGUCUCCAGGGAUAGACAGUGCUAGCUUUGGGUAUGAGCUGCAGGUUUUCGAAGCCUUCAGCCUACCUUCCUGGCAUGAAAGAACUUGAGUAUAUAAAGGUAAAUCUCAGGGGAGGGGACGUAAUAGGCCAGGGUUUAGUGAAAGCUCUAAUAUUACUCAAAGCGCUCCCCAAAGACCUGCCCUCCAAAGACUUGCGCCCCCAAAGACCUUUCUUGGCCCGGCUGCUGAGCCUUUCCCCAAACGAGCCAGGGAACUUUGCCCACGUCAUUUUACCUCCGAGAAUGUGCCUACCUCACAGGGUUGUUGUGAGGACUAAAUGAAGUAAAGUGUUUUGUCAAGCGUAACAUUAUCCAAAUUGGGUAUUAUUCGUCUGAGCUUAUUGUAUAAAAUAAUGAGUUGAGCAGAAAUCAAAAAGACUGUCACCUUUCACCAUGUUGAUUGUCGGCAUUACUGCAGUAUUUUAUAUUUACAGCGUAUUUUUCAGCAAGCCAAGUAUGAAUCAAAAUAAAAACAUAAACACAGUAUUUACAACCUCUGAAAACGAUGAUCAAAUUAUGAUAGAAAAUAUGCCAAAUGAAAAUUGUUGAGUUAGGUCAGUAAGAUUGAGUAGACAGAUCCUUCUGAUUUUUCUUUUUUUUAAAUUAAGGUAGCUUUUCUGAUUACAAAAGUAAUGUAUGUUCACUGUAAAAUUAGUAAUAAAUUCAGAUAUUCCAAG
rnacentral:lncRNA from 1 species